rnacentral:lncRNA from 1 species
UCAAGUGGUGGAGGCUUGAAGUUCAUCAGAACAUGGUUCAAUCAGCCAAAACCCUAGCAAAGUCAACUGUGGUCAACUGUGCAUUUAAUCAGGGAUUUGAUGGUGGGAAAUGGUUUGAGAGGUCUUAUUCAUGUCCAUACAAGCCUAAUAUAACAUGUCAAACAUCAUCAUUGAAGAAUUGGAGGUCAGACAAAGUUUCCCAAAAUAGCAAGGACCUGUAAUUUUCAACUACCAAAAAU